CGCACAUUGCGCCCUUUGGUAUUCCGAGGGGCAUGCCCGUUCGAGCGUCAUUUUACCAAUCAAGCCUGGCUUGGUAUUGGGUAUGGGGGUGACCCCGACCUCAAUGUCUUCCGGCUAGAACAUCCCGAAUCUCAGCGUUGUGAAUCAAAUUCGCUCUGUAAAGGGGGUUCUACUGCCGUUAAACACUUUAUCUAAGGUUGACCUCGGAUCGGGUAAGGAUACCCGCUGAACUUAA
rnacentral:misc_RNA from 1 species